rnacentral:rRNA from 1 species
GGAUAACCUUGCGAAAGUAAGACUAAUACCCAAUGAUAUCUCUAGAAGGCAUCUGAAAGAGAUUAAAGAUUUAUCGGUGAUGGAUGGGGAUGCGUCUGAUUAGCUUGUUGGCGGGGUAACGGCCCACCAAGGCAACGAUCAGUAGGGGUUCUGAGAGGAAGGUCCCCCACAUUGGAACUGAGACACGGUCCAAACUCCUACGGGAGGCAGCAGUGAGGAAUAUUGGUCAAUGGACGAGAGUCUGAACCAGCCAAGUAGCGUGCAGGAAGACGGCCCUAUGGGUUGUAAACUGCUUUUAUAAGGGAAUAAAGUGAGUCUCGUGAGACUUUUUGCAUGUACCUUAUGAAUAAGGACCGGCUAAUUCCGUGCCAGCAGCCGCGGUAAUACGGAAGGUCCGGGCGUUAUCCGGAUUUAUUGGGUUUAAAGGGAGCGUAGGCCGGAGAUUAAGCGUGUUGUGAAAUGUAGAUGCUCAACAUCUGAACUGCAGCGCGAACUGGUUUCCUUGAGUACGCACAAAGUGGGCGGAAUUCGUGGUGUAGCGGUGAAAUGCUUAGAUAUCACGAAGAACUCCGACUGCGAAGGCAGCUCACUGGAGCGCAACUGACGCUGAAGCUCGAAAGUGCGGGUAUCGAACAGGAUUAGAUACCCUGGUAGUCCGCACGGUAAACGAUGGAUGCCCGCUGUUGGUCUGAAUAGGUCAGCGGCCAAG